rnacentral:rRNA from 1 species
AACGGGUGGUAAUGCCGGAUGCUCCAGUUGAUCGCAUGGUCUUCUGGGAAAGCUUUCGCGGUAUGGGAUGGGGUCGCGUCCUAUCAGCUUGACGGCGGGGUAACGGCCCACCGUGGCUUCGACGGGUAGCCGGCCUGAGAGGGCGACCGGCCACAUUGGGACUGAGAUACGGCCCAGACUCCUACGGGAGGCAGCAGUGGGGAAUAUUGCACAAUGGGCGCAAGCCUGAUGCAGCGACGCCGCGUGAGGGAUGGAGGCCUUCGGGUUGUAAACCUCUUUUAUCGGGGAGCAAGCGAGAGUGAGUUUACCCGUUGAAUAAGCACCGGCUAACUACGUGCCAGCAGCCGCGGUAAUACGUAGGGUGCAAGCGUUAUCCGGAAUUAUUGGGCGUAAAGGGCUCGUAGGCGGUUCGUCGCGUCCGGUGUGAAAGUCCAUCGCUUAACGGUGGAUCCGCGCCGGGUACGGGCGGGCUUGAGUGCGGUAGGGGAGACUGGAAUUCCCGGUGUAACGGUGGAAUGUGUAGAUAUCGAGA